AUUGAACGCUGGCGGCAUGCUUUACACAUGCGAGUCGAGCGGUAACAGGCCUUCGGGUGCUGACGAGUGGCGAACGGGUGAGUAAUGCAUCGGAACGUACCCAGAGGUGGGGGAUAACGCAGCGAAAGCUGUGCUAAUACCGCAUGUGAUCUGAGGAUGAAAGCGGGGGACCGAGCAGCAAUGUUUGGCCUCGCGCCUUUGGAGCGGCCGAUGUCGGAUUAGCUAGUUGGUGGGGUAAAGGCCUACCAAGGCGACGAUCCGUAGCUGGUCUGAGAGGACGACCAGCCACACUGGGACUGAGACACGGCCCAGACUCCUACGGGAGGCAGCAGUGGGGAAUUUUGGACAAUGGGCGCAAGCCUGAUCCAGCAAUGCCGCGUGCGGGAAGAAGGCCUUCGGGUUGUAAACCGCUUUUGGCAGGAACGAAACGGUGUCCGCUAAUACCGGGCGCUAAUGACGGUACCUGCAGAAUAAGCACCGGCUAACUACGUG
rnacentral:rRNA from 1 species